GUAGGUGGCAAGCGUUGUCCGGAAUUAUUGGGCGUAAAGCGCGCGCAGGGCGGUCCUUUAAGUCUGAUGUGAAAGCCACGGCUCAACCGUGAGGGUCAUUGGAAACUGGGGGACUUGAGUACAGAAGAGGAAAGCGGAAUUCCAAGUGUAGCGGUGAAAUGCGUAGAGAUUUGGAGGAACACCAGUGGCGAAGGCGGCUUUCUGGUCUGUAACUGACGCUGAGGCGCGAAAGCGUGGGGAGCAAACAGGAUUAGAUACCCUGGUAGUCCACGCCGUAAACGAUGAGUGCUAAGUGUUAGGGGGUUUCCGCCCCUUAGUGCCGCAGCUAACGCAUUAAGCACUCCGCCUGGGGAGUACGGCCGCAAAGGCUG
rnacentral:rRNA from 1 species